rnacentral:rRNA from 1 species
ACGAACGCUGGCGGCAGGCUUAACACAUGCAAGUCGAACGCCCCGCAAGGGGAGUGGCAGACGGGUGAGUAACACGUGGGAACGUGCCCUAUGGUUUGGAAUAUUCCCGGGAAACUGGGAGCAAUACCAAAUGUGUCCGUAAGGAGAAAGAUUUAUCGCCUUAGGAUCGGCCCGCGUCAGAUUAGCUAGUUGGUGGGGUAAAAGCCUACCAAGGCGACGAUCUGUAGCUGGUCUGAGAGGACGACCAGCCACACUGGGACUGAGACACGGCCCAGCCUCCUACGGGAGGCAGCAGUGGGGAAUCUUGGACAAUGGGCGCAAGCCUGAUCCAGCCAUGCCGCGUGGAUGAUGAGGGCCCUAGGGUUGUAAAAUCCUUUCGUUGGGGACGAUAAUGACGGUACCCAAAGAAGAAGCUCCGGCUAACUUCGU